CCCCAGAAGUAACAUACUAAUUACAGAUCCGAUGGAUGCGGUUCACUUCCCAAUCGCACGAUAAAGAACCGUAUGCAGAAAUCCUUCGAGUCAGUGGAACAAUCCCCUAAAAGUGUAUCAUUUCCCAGCGAUCAUGGAUAUAUUUCUGCCGGCAGUCAUCCUGCUGUUAUCUUAUCAAGCCCGGACAGCACACACUCUGUACUGCUACCAUCUACCACCCACACCGCGGAUGUUUGUUACGUGGAGGAGCGGAUUCGCCAUUCGCUGUCCUCCAAAUGCAGUGUGUUAUAAAUAUCGCGAAGUGAUUGGAGGUUUUUUAGAAACCAUACAGAAAGGUUGCACCUUACCACAAGGAACACGGGAUCCCGGCUGCGAAUGGACCGGCAAUGUUCUGCAGCGGUGUUACUGCAGCCGCAGCUACUGCAACAUAGGAUAUCGUAGCAGCCAAUCCUGGAUAACAUUACUAUUGUGCCUGUUUCUACUUUUCUACAUAUUUAUCAUCAAGGAAUAAAUUUAGUUCGUAUAAUGUUUAGCGCGCAGUGUGCUGCAACGUCCAGCUAUGGAUCAGUAUAAU